GACGAACGCUGGCGGCGUGCCUAAUACAUGCAAGUCGAACGCAGUGGGGACGGGUGAGUACCACGUGGGUAACCUCCCAUCAGAGGGGAUAACACUUGGAAACAGGUGCUAAACCGAUACUGAUGGAUGGACCCGCGGUGCGUUAGCUAGUUGGGGUGGUAACGGCUCACCAAGGCCACGAUGCAUCGCCGACCUGAGAGGGGGAACGGCCACAAUGGGGAUGAGACACGGCCCAGACUCCUACGGGAGGCAGCAGGAGGGAAUCUUCGGCAAUGGACGAAAGUCUGACCGAGCAACGCCGGGGGAGGGAAGAAGGUUUUCGGAGCUUAAAACUCUGUUGUUAGAGAAGCGGUAUCUAACCAGAAAGCCACGGCUAACGACGGGCCAGCAGCCGCGGUAAUUC
rnacentral:rRNA from 1 species